rnacentral:rRNA from 1 species
CCUACGGGGGGCUGCAGUGGGGAAUAUUGGACAAUGGGCGAAAGCCUGAUCCAGCCAUGCCGCGUGUGUGAAGAAGGCCUUCGGGUUGUAAAGCACUUUCAGUGGGGAAGAAAGCCUUGGGGCUAAUACCCUCGAGGAAGGACAUCACCCACAGAAGAAGCACCGGCUAACUCCGUGCCAGCAGCCGCGGUAAUACGGAGGGUGCGAGCGUUAAUCGGAAUUACUGGGCGUAAAGCGCGCGUAGGCGGUCUGAUAAGCCGGUUGUGAAAGCCCCGGGCUCAACCUGGGAACGGCAUCCGGAACUGUCAGGCUAGAGUGCAGGAGAGGAAGGUAGAAUUCCCGGUGUAGCGGUGAAAUGCGUAGAGAUCGGGAGGAAUACCAGUGGCGAAGGCGGCCUUCUGGACUGACACUGACGCUGAGGUGCGAAAGCGUGGGUAGCAUACAGGAUUAGAUACCCGUGUAGUC